rnacentral:rRNA from 1 species
CACAGACUCCUACGGGAGGCAGCAGUGAGGAAUAUUGGUCAAUGGGCGCGAGCCUGAACCAGCCAAGUCGCGUGAGGGAAGACGGUCCUAUGGAUUGUAAACCUCUUUUGUCGGGGAGCAAAAGACGCCACGUGUGGCGUUCCGAGAGUACCCGAAGAAAAAGCAUCGGCUAACUCCGUGCCAGCAGCCGCGGUAAUACGGAGGAUGCGAGCGUUAUCCGGAUUUAUUGGGUUUAAAGGGUGCGCAGGCGGAAGAUCAAGUCAGCGGUAAAAUGUCCGGGCUCAACCCGGGCCGGCCGUUGAAACUGGGGAUCUUGAGUGGGCGAGAAGGAUGCGGAAUGCGUGGUGUAGCGGUGAAAUGCAUAGAUACCACGCAGAACUCCGAUUGCGAAGGCAGCAUACCGGCGCCCGACUGACGCUGAGGCACGAAAGCGUGGGGAUCGAACAGGAUUAGAUACCCGUGUACAU